CUCAGAUCAAAAUGAUGAGAAAACUUGAGAAGCAGGCCAUGGCGCAAGCAGCCAAGGAAGCAAAGAAGCAACAAGCGAUAAUGGCUGCAGAGGAAAGGCGGAAAAAGAGGGAGCAGAUGAAGAUUCUUAAACAGCAAGUAA